AAUGAACGCUGGCGGCAUGCCUUACACAUGCAAGUCGAACGGCAGCAUAGGAGCUUGCUCCUGAUGGCGAGUGGCGAACGGGUGAGUAAUAUAUCGGAACGUGCCUUAGAGUGGGGGAUAACUAGUCGAAAGACUAGCUAAUAGCGCAUACCAUCUACGGAUGAAAGUGGGGGAUCGCAAGACCUCAUGCUCCUGGAGCGGCCGAUAUCUGAUUAGCUAGUUGGUGGGGUAAAAGCCUACCAAGGCAACGAUCAGUAGCUGGUCUGAGAGGACGACCAGCCACACUGGGACUGAGACACGGCCCAGACUCCUACGGGAGGCAGCAGUGGGGAAUUUUGGACAAUGGGGGCAACCCUGAUCCAGCAAUGCCGCGUGAGUGAAGAAGGCCUUCGGGUUGUAAAGCUCUUUUGUCAGGGAAGAAACGGUAGUAGCUAAUAUCUAUUACUAAUGACGGUACCUGAAGAAUAAGCACCGGCUAACUACGUGCCAGCCGCCGCGGUAA
rnacentral:rRNA from 1 species